GGUUUCUCUGUGUAGCCCUGGCUGUCCUGGAACUCAGUCUGUAGACCAGGCUGGCCUUGAACUCAGAAAUCCACCUGCCUCUGCCUCCCAAGUGCUGGGAUUAAAGGCUUGCG
rnacentral:miRNA from 1 species